GACCUAUUCUCAAACUUUAAAUAGGUAGGACGGUGCGGCUGCUUCGUUGAGCCGCGUCACGGAAUCGAGAGCUCUAAGUGGGCCAUUUUUGGUAAGUAGAACUAGCGAUGCAGGAUGAACCAGAAGUCGGGUUACGGUGCCCAACUAUGCAAUAACCUAGAACCCACAAAGGGUGUUGGUCGAUUAAGACAGCAGGACAGUGGUCAUAGAAGUCAAAAUCUGCUGAGGAGUGUGUAACAACUCAUCUGCCGAAUCAACUAGCCCCGAAAAUGGAUGGUGUUUAAGUACGCAACCU
rnacentral:ncRNA from 1 species